UGAGGAAUAUUGCGCAAUGAGCGAAAGCUAGACGCAGCAACGCCGCGUGGACGAUGAAGGCCUUCGGGUCGUAAAGUCCUUUUCAGGGGGACGAGUGAGGACGGUACCUCUGGAAUAAGUCACGGCUAACUACGUGCCAGCAGCCGCGGUAAAACGUAGGUGGCGAGCGUUAUCCGGAUUCACUGGGCGUAAAGCGCCUGCAGGCGGUCUCGUAAGUGGGAUGUGAAAUCUCCUGGCUUAACUGGGAGGGGCCAUUCCAUACUGCGGGACUUGAGGGCAGAAGAGGGAAGCGGAAUUCCCGGUGUAGUGGUGAAAUGCGUAGAUAUCGGGAGGAACACCAGUGGCGAAGGCGGCUUCCUGGCCUGCUCCUGACGCUAAGAGGCGAAAGCUAGGGGAGCGAACGGG
rnacentral:rRNA from 1 species